CGCGUUCACACUCGCGCUCCUCCCCAGCCGGCUGCCCCAGGACCGCGGGCCCGAGCAGCGGCCCACACCCAGGAGCGAGGAGGCGGUUAAAGGCGGCAGGGAGGCUGACAUCUUUUAUCUCGGGGUCUAUGGGUAACCGCUCCGCAGUGUUCCCUCGGGAGAUCUUACCGAGCCCGCCGGGGGCCGUCCGCCCAGGCACUGGGGCACUUCACACUCGUGACUCAAGGUCACCACGGCAGUCGGUCCCUGACUCCCAGCCCGGCAGGAGUUCAGAGGCCAGGUGGAAAGUUGCCCUAGGGUGUUAGCAAACUGAGACACCCAGCAGAUUCCAGGCACAAACACACUGGAGACCUUCCCCAUGCCACACCUGGAGCCCAAGGCCACCUGGGAUGCAGACAGGAUGAACGGGUGGAACCACACCAGGAAAUGUUCUCUAGGAGUGCAUCAGAACUGUUAAGCUGGCGAAUAGGAACAGGUGACUUGCAAAGGCGGCAGAGUACUUUGAGAUGGCGGGGGGGCGGAGAGGAGAAGAAGAAGAAGGAGGAGGAGGAGGAGGAAAGAAGAAGAAGAGAGGAAAGAAGGAAGGAAGGGGGAGAGAGAGAGAAAGAAUUGGAAUUUUGUUUUUGCUUGGCCUCAGUGUACCCCCCAGGAACAUGUCAUUUGAAUCAACUACCUGCC
rnacentral:lncRNA from 1 species